rnacentral:rRNA from 1 species
ACCAUGCAAGUCGAGCGGCAGCGCGGGGCAACCUGGCGGCGAGCGGCGAACGGGUGAGUAAUGCAUCGGAACGUGUCCAUUCGUGGGGGAUAGCCCGGCGAAAGCCGGAUUAAUACCGCAUACGCCCUGUGGGGGAAAGCGGGGGACUUCGCAAGAGGCCUCGCGCGAUUGGGUCGGCCGAUGUCCGAUUAGCUAGUUGGUGGGGUAAAGGCUCACCAAGGCGAUGAUCGGUAGCUGGUCUGAGAGGAUGAUCAGCCACACUGGGACUGAGACACGGCCCAGACUCCUACGGGAGGCAGCAGUGGGGAAUUUUGGACAAUGGGGGCAACCCUGAUCCAGCCAUUCCGCGUGAGUGAAGAAGGCCUUCGGGUUGUAAAGCUCUUUUGUCCGGAGCGAAACGGUGCGGGUGAAUAGCCCGCGCUACUGACGGUACCGGAAGAAUAAGCACCGGCUAACUACGUGCCAGCAGCCGCGGUAAUACGUAGGGUGCGAGCGUUAAUCGGAAUUACUGGGCGUAAAGCGUGCGCAGGCGGUUUUGUAAGCCAGAUGUGAAAUCCCCGGGCUUAACCUGGGAAUGGCAUUUGGGACUGCAAGGCUCGAGUGCGGCAGAGGAGACUGGAAUUCCUGGUGUAGCAGUGAAAUGCGUAGAUAUCAGGAGGAAUACCGAUGGCGAAGGCAGGUCUCUGGGCUGACACUGACGCUCAUGCACG